GGGCCCGCACAAGCGGCGGAGCAUGCGGAUUAAUUCGAUGCAACGCGAAGAACCUUACCAAGGCUUGACAUAUAGAAGAACACUGCAGAGAUGCAGGACUCUUUGGACACUUCUAUACAGGUGGUGCAUGGUUGUCGUCAGCUCGUGUCGUGAGAUGUUCGGUUAAGUCCGGCAACGAGCGCAACCCUCGUCCUAUGUUGCCAGCACGUGAUGGUGGGAACUCAUGGGAUACUGCCGUGGUCAACACGGAGGAAGGUGGGGAUGACGUCAAAUCAUCAUGCCCCUUAUGUCUUGGGCUUCACGCAUGCUACAAUGGCCGGUACAAAGGGCUGCGAUACCGUAAGGUGGAGCGAAUCCCAAAAAGCCGGUCUCAGUUCGGAUUGGGGUCUGCAACUCGACCCCAUGAAGUCGGAGUCGCUAGUAAUCGCAGAUCAGCAACGCUGCGGUGAAUACGUUCCCGGGCCUU
rnacentral:rRNA from 1 species